CCCCCCAGGCUAUGAGCAAAGAAACACCAUGUUGGUAGUAGUGUUCUUAUAUCAGUCAGGGGCAAAGCAGAUGACAGUCCUUUGUUCUUCCUAGCUUGAUGCCUGGCUUGGUGGCCAAAUCUGUCUUAUGCUUAGAACUCAUAC